rnacentral:rRNA from 1 species
UCCAGGCGGCUGACUUCACGCGUUAGCUACGUUACUCAGGAUGUAAAUCCCGAACAACUAGUCAGCAUCGUUUAGGGCGUGGACUACCAGGGUAUCUAAUCCUGUUUGCUCCCCACGCUUUCGUGCAUGAGCGUCAGUGUUAUCCCAGGGGGCUGCCUUCGCCAUUGGUAUUCCUCCACAUAUCUACGCAUUUCACUGCUACACGUGGAAUUCUACCCCCCUCUGACACACUCUAGCUAUACAGUCACAGGCGCCAUUCCCAGGUUAAGCCCGGGGAUUUCACGCCUGUCUUGUAUAACCGCCUGCGCACGCUUUACGCCCAGUAAUUCCGAUUAACGCUCGCACCCUACGUAUUACCGCGGCUGCUGGCACGUAGUUAGCCGGUGCUUAUUCUUCAGGUACCGUCAUUCCCGGACUGUGUUAGAGCCGGUGUUUCUUCCCUGACAAAAGAGCUUUACAACCCGAAGGCCUUCUUCACUCACGCGGCAUUGCUGGAUCAGGGUUUCCCCCAUUGUCCAAAAUUCCCCACUGCUGCCUCCCGUA